GGCGAUUGGGCCCGAGUUUGAUCCUGGCUCAGAACGAACGCUGGCGGCAGGCCUAACACAUGCAAGUCGAACGGGCGUAGCAAUACGUCAGUGGCGGACGGGUGAGUAACACGUGGGAAUAUGCCUUUCGGUUCGGAACAACUCGGGGAAACCCGUGCUAAUUCCGGAUACGCCCUUACGGGGAAAGAUUUAUCGCCGAAAGAUUAGCCCGCGUCCGAUUAGCUAGUUGGUGAGGUAAAGGCUCACCAAGGCACCGAUCGGUAGCUGGUUUGAGAGAACGACCAGCCACACUGGGACUGAGACACGGCCCAGACUCCUACGGGAGGCAGCAGUGGGGAAUCUUGGACAAUGGGCGCAAGCCUGAUCCAGCCAUGCCGCGUGAGUGAUGAAGGCCUUCGGGUUGUAAAACUCUUUUGGCGGGGACGAUAAUGACGGUACCCGCAGAAUAAGCUCCGGCUAACUUCGUGCCAGCAGCCGCGGU
rnacentral:rRNA from 1 species